CUACAGCCAAUUAAGCCAAACAUGCUCUCCCAGAUGUGCAAUGACUGCAAACAAAAGUUUCCUCAGUAGUGUACACAAUUCGUUGCACAUGUGCAUCACGCUAAGAACAUGGAGACAGAC
rnacentral:snoRNA from 1 species